rnacentral:rRNA from 1 species
GACGAACGCUGGCGGCGUGCCUAAUACAUGCGAGUCGAACGCACAGUUUAUACCGUAGCUUGCUACACCAUAGACUGUGAGUUGCGAACGGGUGAGUAACGCGUAGGUAACCUGCCUGGUAGCGGGGGAUAACUAUUGGAAACGAUAGCUAAUACCGCAUAAUAUUAAUUAUUGCAUGAUAAUUAAUUGAAAGGUGCAAUUGCACCACUACCAGAUGGACCUGCGUUGUAUUAGCUAGUAGGUGAGGUAACGGCUCACCUAGGCGACGAUACAUAGCCGACCUGAGAGGGUGAUCGGCCACACUGGGACUGAGACACGGCCCAGACUCCUACGGGAGGCAGCAGUAGGGAAUCUUCGGCAAUGGACGAAAGUCUGACCGAGCAACGCCGCGUGAGGGAAGAAGGGUUUCGGAUCGUAAAGCUCUGUUGUAAGAGAAGAACGGGUGUGAGAGUGGAAAGUUCACACUGUGACGGUAGCUUACCAGAAAGGGACGGCUAACUACGUG